CCUACGGGAGGCAGCAGUGGGGAAUCUUGCACAAUGGGGGGAAGCCUGAUGCAGCAACGCCGCGUGCAUGAUGAAGGCCUUCGGGAUGUAAAGUGCUGUUAUAAGCGAGAAAUGUGAUGGUACCUUAUGAAUAAGCCUCGGCUAACUACGUGCCAGCAGCCGCGGUAAUACGUAGGGGCCGAGCGUUAUCCGGAUUGACUGGGUGUAAAGAGUUGCGUAGGUGGCAUAAGAAGGAGCUGGUGAAAUCUGGGGGCGCAACCAUCCAGACUAUUAGCUAAACUGUGAAGCUCGAGACCGUGAGGGGUAAGCGGAAUUUCUAGUGUAGGAGUGAAAUGCGUAGAUAUUAGAAGGAACACCAAUAGCGUAGGCAGGUUACUGGGACGGUUCUGACACUAAGGCACGAAAGCGUAGGGAGCAAACGGGAUUAGAUACCCUGGUAGUC
rnacentral:rRNA from 1 species